UCUUUUUCCACCGAGACUUGUCUCAUCGGAAAAAGAGGAGUGGCGAACGGGUGAGUAACACAUGGGUAACCUGCCCAUCAGAAGGGGAUAACACUUGGAAACAGGUGCUAAUACCGUAUAACAAUGUUCUUCGCAUGAAGGAUAUUUGAAAGGCGCUUUUGCGUCACUGAUGGAUGGACCCGCGGUGCAUUAGCUAGUUGGUGAGGUAACGGCUCACCAAGGCCACGAUGCAUAGCCGACCUGAAAGGGUGAUCGGCCACACUGGGACUGAGACACGGCCCAGACUCCUACGGGAGGCAGCAGUAGGGAAUCUUCGGCAAUGGACGAAAGUCUGACCGAGCAACGCCCCGUGAGUGAAGAAGGUUUUCGGAUCGUAAAACUCUGUUGUUAGAGAAGAACAAGGAUGAGAGUAAAAUGUUCAUCCCUUGACGGUAUCUAACCAGAAAGCCACGGCUAACUACGUGCCAGCAGCCGCGGUAAUACGUAGGUGGCAAGCGUUGUCCGGAUUUAUUGGGCGUAAAGCGAGCGCAGGCGGUUUCUUAAGUCUGAUGUGAAAGCCCCCGGCUUAACCGGGGAGGGUCAUU
rnacentral:rRNA from 1 species